rnacentral:rRNA from 1 species
GAUUAACGCUGGCGGCGUGCAUAACACAUGCAAGUCGAACGAUGAAACUUAAAUGAAUUCUUCGGAAUGAUUUUAAUUGGAUUAGUGGCGAACGGGUGAGUAACGCGUGAGUAACCUGCCUUACACAAGGGGAUAGCCUCUGGAAACGGAGAAUAAUACCCUAUGAAACUAUCUUAUCGCAUGAAAAGAUAGUCAAAGUGUUUUAGCGGUGUAAGAUGGACUUGCGUCUGAUUAGCUAGUUGGUGAGAUAACAGCCCACCAAGGCAACGAUCAGUAGCCGGCUUGAGAGAGGGUACGGCCACAUUGGGACUGAGACACGGCCCAGACUCCUACGGGAGGCAGCAGUGGGGAAUUUUGCACAAUGGGGGCAACCCUGAUGCAGCGACGCCGCGUGAUUUAGAAGGCCUUCGGGUUGUAAAAAUCUUUUGUAUAGGAAGAAAAUGACAGUACUAGACGAAUAAGGUCCGGCUAAUUACGUG